rnacentral:tRNA from 1 species
GUGAGCGUAGCUCAGUUGGUUAGAGCACAAGGUUGUGGCCCUUGUGGUCGUGGGUUCGAGUCCCAUCGCUCACCCCU